rnacentral:lncRNA from 1 species
UGAAUCUGUCUGCAUUUCCUCUCUCUGGGUUUAAUACUUCUUCUUUUAGCAGGAGAAACACGUCCUGUACCGACAUAUGCUGUCUAAAGCCGAACACAGUUUCCGGGAAAAGGUUGCUGUUUUCUAUGUACCUAGUGAGUCUCAUCUGUAUAACCUUUUCAAAAAGCUUACCCAGACAUGAGGUAAGGGAUAUGGGUUGGAGAUUUUUUAUGUCCCUCGGUUUCCCUGGUUUCGGUAUUAGAAUUAUCUCUGCAUGCCUCCAUGCCUGUGGGAUUUGACCUCCUUCAGUCCAUACAUGUUUGUUAAAGAGAUCUGUUAGCCCUGUCAAAGCAUUGAGGCUAAGAUUGCGAAUCAUGGCGUUUAGCUCGGAAGCGCACA